rnacentral:rRNA from 1 species
UACGUAGGGACCAAGCGUUGUCCGGAAUCAUUGGGCGUAAAGCGCGCGUAGGUGGCCCCAUAAGUCCGCUGUGAAAGUCAAAGGCUCAACCUUUGAAAGCCGGUGGAUACUGUGGGACUAGAGUACGGAAGAGGCGAGUGGAAUUCCUGGUGUAGCGGUGGAAUGCGCAGAUAUCAGGAGGAACACCAAUAGCGAAGGCAGCUCGCUGGGACGUUACUGACACUGAGGCGCGAAAGCGUGGGGAGCGAACAGG